rnacentral:rRNA from 1 species
AUUGAACGCUGGCGGCAGGCUUAACACAUGCAAGUCGAGCGGGGUGAUGGUGCUUGCACUAUCACUUAGCGGCGGACGGGUGAGUAAUGCUUAGGAAUCUGCCUAUUAGUGGGGGACAACAUCUCGAAAGGGAUGCUAAUACCGCAUACGUCCUACGGGAGAAAGCAGGGGAUCACUUGUGACCUUGCGCUAAUAGAUGAGCCUAAGCCGGAUUAGCUAGUUGGUGGGGUAAAGGCCUACCAAGGCGACGAUCUGUAGCGGGUCUGAGAGGAUGAUCCGCCACACUGGGACUGAGACACGGCCCAGACUCCUACGGGAGGCAGCAGUGGGGAAUAUCGGACAAUGGGGGGAACCCUGAUCCAGCCAUGCCGCGUGUGUGAAGAAGGCCUUAUGGUUGUAAAGCACUUUAAGCGAGGAGGAGGCUCUUUUGGUUAAUACCCAAGAUGAGUGGACGUUACUCGCAGAAUAAGCACCGGCUAACUCUGUGCCAGCAGCCGCAGUAA